AAUAAUAUUUUAAUGAAAAAUGAGAAUUAUCUGUAUUGAUCCCCGAAAGAGGCAAGCAGUCCAACACCUGGGGAAUGCCCAUUGGGGAUCUUGUACUUUUCACUUUAAAAAAACAUCACUAACGUUAAUAUUUUAUGUUUCAUUCCUUAGAUUAUGCUUCUCAAUGUCCAGAUCCAUCACCCUACUUAACACGUGUCACCACAACAACUAAAAUAUUAUAAUUUCUCUUUUAUUUUAUCUUCGCUAAGUUUGUCACCUAAUAGUUUAACAUAAUCUUCAAUUUUCUAAUAUACCCUUCUCUUGUAUGUUAUUCCAUCAUUGGCUGAUUGCAAUUUUCCAAGCUCUUUCAGCGGCUCAAGAUUUUGUUGGUGAGGAAGCCGAUUUUUCUUAGACACCCCAAACACUCACUAACAUCAACCUGACGUAAAUAAUAAACCCCAAGGCUAUUUUCGUCACUUACCAAGAUUUUCUUAUAAUUGGAACUAUAUUUCAAUUUGUAUAGUGAAUAAUAAAUAUAUCACACUUUGCCUUCAAAUAAUAUAAGGAGCUAAUAUUUUUCAUACUGCGUUUUCACCUUAUAAAAUGAAUGUUUUUUUUUCUUUUUC
rnacentral:lncRNA from 1 species